rnacentral:rRNA from 1 species
UACGUAGGGGGCAAGCGUUGUCCGGAAUCAUUGGGCGUAAAGAGCGUGUAGGCGGCCCGAUAAGUCCGCUGUGAAAGUCCAGGGCUCAACCCUGGAAUGCCGGUGGAUACUGUCGGGCUCGAGUUCGGAAGAGGUGAGUGGAAUUCCUGGUGUAGCGGUGAAAUGCGCAGAUAUCAGGAGGAACACCUGUGGUGUAGACAGCUUACUGGACCACGACUGACGCUGAGACACGAAAGCGUGGGUAGCAAACAGG